rnacentral:ncRNA from 1 species
GUUUUGGUCCUAAACUUGCCAUUGUUUUUUAUCAAAUUUACACAUGCAAGCUUCAACAACCCAGUGAGAUUGCCCAAAAUCCCCAAACAGCCAAAAGGAGCAGGCAUCAGGAUUCAGAGCUAUCUAGCCCAAGACGCCUUGCUACGCCACACCCACACGGGUAUUCAGCAGUGAAAAAUAUUAAAGUAUGAGCGAAAGCUCGACUUAGUUAUGAUAAACAUGACUGGUAAAUCUCGUGCCAGCCACCGCGGUUAUACGAGAGGUCAAAAACAAUGGCCAACGGCGUAAAGCGUGACCAGAGCUCAUCAAAAAAUUUAAAGCUAAACGAUAUCAAAGUUGUAAAACACCUUGAUUAUCAGAUAAUCAACAACAAAAGACUUUAAACAAUUAGACGACUUGACUUCACGAAAGCUAAGAAACAAACUAGGAUUAGAUACCCUACUAUGCUUAGCCCUAAACAUAGAUAGUAAACACACAAUGCUAUCCGCCAGAGAACUACAAGUGAAAAACUAGAAACUCUAAGGACUUGGCGGUGCUCCAUAUCGUCCUAGAGGAGCCUGUCCUAUAAUCGAUAAUCCACGUUUUACCUUACCAUUCUUUGCAAGUCAGCCUAUAUACCGCCGUCGCAAGCCUACCUUAUGAAAGAUCCAAAGUAGGCAAAACAGUUAAUAACUAAGACGUCAGGUCAAGGUGUAGCUAAUAGAGUGGAAGAGAUGGGCUACACUUUCUAUCACAGAACAAACGAACAGCACAGUGAAACCUGUACUCAAAGGUGGAUUUAGUAGUAAUGUAAACAAGAAAAUUUACCUGAAACCCGCUCUGGAGCGCGCACACACCGCCCGUCACCCUC